GGCCCCUUAGCUCAGUGGUUAGAGCAGUCGACUCAUAAUCGAUUGGCCCCCAGUUCAAGUCUGGGAGGGGCCACCA
rnacentral:tRNA from 1 species